UAAAACCUUCUUCUCAGCUUCUCUUCCUAGUUCUUCUGGAGUCCGGAAAAGCUGGUGGGGGAGAGGGGUGUUGGACAAAAACA
rnacentral:pre_miRNA from 12 species